UACAGAGGGUGCAAGCGUUUAAUCGGAAUUACUGGGCGUAAAGCGUGCGCAGGCGGUUUUGUAAGUCUGUCGUGAAAGCCCCGGGCUUAACCUGGGAAUUGCGAUGGAGACUGCAAGGCUUGAAUCUGGCAGAGGGGGGUAGAAUUCCACGUGUAGCAGUGAAAUGCGUAGAGAUGUGGAGGAACACCGAUGGCGAAGGCAGCCCCCUGGGUCAAGAUUGACGCUCAUGCACGAAAGCGUGGGGAGCAAACAGG
rnacentral:rRNA from 1 species